UGCAAGUCGAACGGUAACAGGCCACGCUCAUCCUUCGGGGUGUUGUGGUGCUGACGAGUGGCGGACGGGUGAGUAAUGCUUAGGAAUCUACCCAGAAGUGGGGGACAACCCGAGGAAACUCGGGCUAAUACCGCGUAAUCCCUACGGGGGAAAGCGGGGGACUCUUCGGAGCCUCGCGCUUUUGGAUGAGCCUAAGUCGGAUUAGCUUGAUGGUGAGGUAAAAGCUCACCAUGGCGACGAUCCGUAGCUGGUCUGAGAGGACGAUCAGCCACACUGGGACUGAGACACGGCCCAGACUCCUACGGGAGGCAGCAGUGGGGAAUAUUGGACAAUGGGGGCAACCCUGAUCCAGCAAUGCCGCGUGCGUGAAGAAGGCCUGCGGGUUGUAAAGCACUUUCAGUAGAGAAGGAAAGCUCGAGGUUAAUACCCUCGGGUCUUGACGUAACCUAAAGAAGAAGCACCGGCUAACUCCGUGCCAGCAGCCGCGGUAAUACGGAGGGUGCGAGCGUUAAUCGGAAUUACUGGGCGUAAAGCGCGCGCAGGCGGCUGGGUCAGUCGGAUGUGAAAGCCCCGGGCUUAACCUGGGAAUUGCAUUCGAUACUGCCCGGCUAGAGUAUGG
rnacentral:rRNA from 1 species